UACGUAGGGGGCGAGCGUUGUCCGGAUUUAUUGGGCGUAAAGAGCGCGUAGGCGGCGCGUUAAGUCUGGCCUGAAAGCCCCCGGCUCAACCGGGGAAGGUGGCUGGAAACUGGCGUUCUUGAGGGCGACAGAGGAGAGUGGAAUUCCUGGUGUAGCGGUGAAAUGCGUAGAUAUCAGGAGGAACACCCAUGGCGAAGGCAGCUCUCUGGGUCGGACCUGACGCUGAGGCGCGAAAGCGUGGGGAGCGAACGGG
rnacentral:rRNA from 1 species